UUGGAAAUUCUAAACUUUUUAAAGUGACAUGAUUGUUUUCCCACUGCAGGUAUUGCAUACAUAGUUCUAUUGACCAUUCCUAUGACUUUUGCAUCAGCAGAAAGAAGCUUUUCAAAAUUGAAGCUAUUGAAGUCC
rnacentral:rRNA from 1 species